AAAAUUGUGAAGAAACAUUCCGAUAUUCGAAAAAGAACGCGAUCUUCUUAUAAUCAAUCAUGGCACGUUACUUUAGAGAAGAAGAUAUAGAUGAGUUUCGGGAAUGUUUCUACUUGUUUGCUCGAAAUGGCCAGAUUCGUACACU